rnacentral:rRNA from 1 species
UCCGUAGGCGGUGUGGUAAGUCGGGAGUGAAAUCUCUGGGCUUAACCCAGAGGCUGCUUCCGAAACUGCCGUGCUAGAGUGUGAGAGAGGCGAGUGGAAUUACGGGUGUAGCGGUGAAAUGCGUAGAUAUCCGUAGGAACAUCCGAGGCGAAGGCGGCUCGCUGGAUCACAACUGACGCUGAGGGACGAAAGCUAGGGAGCAAACA